rnacentral:rRNA from 1 species
UACGUAGGGACCAAGCGUUGUCCGGAAUCAUUGGGCGUAAAGAGCGUGUAGGCGGCUUGUUAAGUCUUGCGUGAAAUCUCGGGGCUCAACCCCGAGCGGUCGUGAGAAACUGGCAGGCUAGAGUGCGGGAGAGGAGAGUGGAAUUCCCGGUGUAGCGGUGAAAUGCGCAGAUAUCAGGAGGAACACCGGUGGCGAAGGCGGUUCUCUGGGCAUUACCUGACGCUGAGGAGCGAAAGUGUGGGGAGCGAACAGG